rnacentral:rRNA from 1 species
AAACCAGCACCUCAAGUGGUCAGGAUGAUUAUUGGGCCUAAAGCAUCCGUAGCCGGCUCUGUAAGUUUUCGGUUAAAUCUGUACGCUUAACGUACAGGCCGCCGGGAAUACUGCAGAGCUAGGGAGUGUGAGAGGUAGACGGUACUCGGGAGGAAGUGGUAAAAUGCUUUGAUCUCUCGAUGACCACCUGUGGCGAAGGCGGUCUACCAGAACACGUCCGACGGUGAGGGAUGAAAGCUGGGGGAGCAAACCGAAUUAGAAACCCGAGUAGUCC